CAGGGUUAAUUUUUGUAAACCCAGAGGUUAUUCUGUACCACCUCACCUCAUUUCUGGGACAGGAUAAGGGGUCCCUUCCAGGUCAAGGUAGCCUGGAAGUGGAGAAUGGUAGUCUGAUGGUUGCUUGACAGUUCCUCAUUAAUGAAUUCAGACUUCACAACAUAUCGUCAUGACAUAAGGAUGACAUUCAAAGAUCCAAAGACAGCAAGUAGCAAAAUAGGUUGCCUGAAAUAAUUUAUCUUCCCUCUCGUUACAGAGAUUAUGGCCCUCUGUCAGCCUCAGCUCAGAGGAUGAAAUACUCUCCACAAGAAUGAUGAGGAGCAGUGGCCAGCAAGUGGUUGUUAAUAACAAGGCUCGAGCACUCUAAGAGGGAGAGAAACCUUAUUUUAACAGCUCUCUGUAAAGAAAUAUCCAGAAAUAGGCAUCUUUGAAAUGUCCAAUGUGUCAAACUGAAAGAGAGUCUUAAAAUGCACUGGGUAGAUGCUGCUGAUAUACACAUUUUAAGAGAGGAAAGUUGUUAAC